AUGUGAUCGUCUCUCGCAUAUCAAUAAGCGGAGGAAAAGAAACUAACAAGGAUUCCCCUAGUAACGGCGAGUGAAGCGGGAAGAGCUCAAAUUUGAAAUCUUAAAGGGUUUCCCUUUACGAAUUGUAGUUUAAAGAAGUGUUUUCUGUUGAGGUUUUGGUAAAAGUUCUUUGGAAUAGGACAUCAUAGAGGGUGAGAAUCCCGUAUUUGACCUUUACUUUCAACUUUGUGAUACACUUUCAAAGAGUCGGAUUGUUUGGGAAUGCAGUCCAAAAUGGGUGGUAAAUUUCAUCUAAAGCUAAAUAUUGGCGAGAGACCGAUAGCGAACAAGUACCGUGAGGGAAAGAUGGAAAGAACUUUGAAAAGAGAGUUAAACAGUACGUGAAAUUGUCAAAAGGGAAGCGUUUGACACCAGUGUUGUUUUUCUGAAAAUCAAUUAAAGAACUGUUUAUGCUAAGCUGUUUAGACUUUAUCAGCUAACUGUUUAGUUUUGAGCUUUUCUUUAAUGCACUUUUCAGUUAACAAGUCAACAUCAAUUUCUUUUGCUGUAAAAAAGCUUGAGGAAGGUGGCUUGAGAUUCGUCUUAAGUGUUUAUAGCCUCUUGCCUAUGCAGUCGGAGAGAUUGAGGUCUGCAGCGUAGAUCCUUCGGGGCUAAAUGCAUUUGUGCUAAGUUAUAGCACUUUAUAGACAACUUGUUGACUAUGAUUUGUCUUGUAGCUUACUCGCUUAUGUUAUUUUACCUACGCUUAGGAUGUUGAUCUACAGAGCGAGAGU
rnacentral:rRNA from 1 species